rnacentral:rRNA from 1 species
CACGUAGGGCGCAAGCGUUGUCCGGAAUUAUUGGGCGUAAAGAGCUCGUAGGCGGUCUGUUGCGUCCGCUGUGAAAACUCGGGCUUAACCCCGAGCCUGCAGUGGAUACGGGCAGACUAGAGGUAGGUAGGGGAGAAUGGAAUUCCCGGUGUAGCGGUGAAAUGCGCAGAUAUCGGGAGGAACACCGGUGGCGAAGGCGGUUCUCUGGGCCUUACCUGACGCUGAGACGCGAAAGCGUGGGGAGCGAACAGGAUUGAGAUACCCGGGGAGUCCAAGCACCGA